rnacentral:rRNA from 1 species
GAGUGAUGAAGGCCUUCGGGUCGUAAAACUCUGUCCUCAAGGAAGAUAAUGACGGUACUUGAGGAGGAAGCCCCGGCUAACUACGUGCCAGCAGCCGCGGUAAUACGUAGGGGGCUAGCGUUAUCCGGAUUUACUGGGCGUAAAGGGUGCGUAGGCGGUCUUUCAAGUCAGGAGUGAAAGGCUACGGCUCAACCGUAGUAAGCUCUUGAAACUGGGAGACUUGAGUGCAGGAGAGGAGAGUGGAAUUCCUAGUGUAGCGGUGAAAUGCGUAGAUAUUAGGAGGAACACCAGUUGCGAAGGCGGCGCUCUGGACUGUAACUGACGCUGAGGCACGAAAGCGUGGGGAGCAAACAGGAUUAGAUACCCUGGUAGUCCACGCUGUAAACGAUGAGUACUAGGUGUCGGGGGUUACCCCC